rnacentral:tRNA from 11 species
UGCAGAGGUUGGGUUCGAACCACGACCCUCCGCUCAGUAAAUUCACACUCUAACCACUGAGUCGUCCCGC